ACAAAGCUUUGCUAUUAGGAUGAAAGAGCUGAUGGAGGUAGGACAGAAUUUGCCGGGUGUCAGGGGGUAUCUGCGAGAAUGUGGGCUCUACUGUAUGAACCCCUUAAAGUGACUGAGGCUUAAUGAAAGAUAGUGAGAGGAGAUCAGAAGCUGAAGCCUGACCAAACAGGUGUGGGCUGCCCUGGAAUCCCUGGGGAACGACGGUCCAGAAGAGCUGUGUGGAGAGGCAAAACCAAGUUACAACAAAAAGAUGGAUCCCAGAAGUUGUAAGGAAACUUUGAAGGCAGUGCUGGAAAUUUACUUUAGAAGUACAACGUGUCACAACUCUCCCCUGAAAAGGUUCUACUGUGUCCAAUCUAUACACAGACUUUCCUGCGGAGCUGCUGUCACAGGAUCACACAAAUUCAGGGCUAAUAAUCAGUUGCGGCUACUUUAAAAGCUUGGGAAACCAGAAGUUUCGCCUAGUUCCGCUCAGAGUUACUAACAUGUUACAAUUCACUAUGUUCCUCUGAAACCAAAAGAAGUUGGAAAUCUAUAUCACCGGAUAAUCAAAAUUCCCUGUGAAACUUGGAAGAAAAGGAGGCAUGCCGCUGGCCACCGAGCUGUCAUCUUUUCAAAGGUUAACCCAGAUACCUGUUUAAAAGACUGUGGAGGUCAGGAUUCAGGGUUCUAUCUCUGCUCCACACCACCUCCCAUAGUAGUCCAACGCACAGAGGAAUGACCGGUGGAGACAGCAGGUACCCCGUCGCUCAAGUUCAAGCCUGGGAGCCAACAAGCCUUGGGACCGGCCCAGAAGCCCAGGGCGAGGGGCGGCACACGGCGGCGCGUUCCGCCCCAUCCAACCUUCUACACCAGCCCCAUACUGGGGACCGGGACUUAGGCGGAUGGUGCAGAGCAAGCCAGAGCCGCCCGGCUUACCUUGAGGACCGGCGUCAGGUACUCGGCCACUUCCAGAGCCUUUCCCUUCACCGUGUUGAUCACAUUCUGCAUCCUGGGGCUGGAGCAGCGAUGAGGCAGGGAGGGCGAUCCGGG